UAAACUAGGAGGAAGGUGGGGAGUGACGUCAAAUACAUCAUGCCCCUUACUGACCUGGGCGUACAGAACGUGAUACAAUGGCUGGAACAAAGGGAUGCGAAGCAGUGAUGUGGAGCGAAACCCAUAAAAACAGUCUCAGUUCGGAUUGAAGUCUGCAACUCGACUUCAUGAAGUCGGAAUCGCUAGUAAUCGCGGAUCAGAACGCCGCGGUGAAUACGUUCUCGGGGUUU
rnacentral:rRNA from 1 species